rnacentral:rRNA from 1 species
GAUGAACGCUAGCGGGAGGCUUAACACAUGCAAGUCGGGGGGCAGCACGAGGUAGCAAUACUUUGGUGGCGACCGGCGCACGGGUGAGUAACGCGUAUGCAACCUACCCUGUACAGGGGGAUAACCCGGAGAAAUUCGGACUAAUACCCCAUAAAGAUAUUUAGAGGCAUCUUUGAAUAUUUAAAGUUCCGGCGGUACGGGAUGGGCAUGCGUAACAUUAGCUAGUUGGUAAGGUAACGGCUUACCAAGGCAACGAUGUUUAGGGGUCCUGAGAGGGUGAUCCCCCACACUGGGACUGAGACACGGACCAGACUCCUACGGGAGGCAGCAGUGAGGAAUAUUGGUCAAUGGGCGCAAGCCUGAACCAGCCAUCCCGCGUGAAGGAAGAAUGCGCUAUGCGUUGUAAACUUCUUUUCCAGGGGAAUAAAAUUUUGUACGUGUACGGAAUUGAAGGUACCCUGGGAAUAAGCAUCGGCUAACUCCGUGCCAGCAGCCGCCGUAAAAC